GCCGGGUGUGGUGGUGCAUGCCUGUAAUCCCAGCUACUCGGGAGGCUGAGGCAGGAGAAUUGCUUGAAUCCAGGAGGCAGAGGUUGCAGUGAGCCGAGAUCGUGCCACUGCACUCUAGCCUGGACAACAGAGUGAGACUCUGUCUCAA
rnacentral:SRP_RNA from 1 species